GAUGAACGCUGGCGGCGUGCCUAAUACAUGCAAGUCGAGCGAACAGACGAGGAGCUUGCUCCUCUGACGUUAGCGGCGGACGGGUGAGUAACACGUGGAUAACCUACCUAUAAGACUGGGAUAACUUCGGGAAACCGGAGCUAAUACCGGAUAAUAUAUUGAACCGCAUGGUUCAAUAGUGAAAGACGGUUUUGCUGUCACUUAUAGAUGGAUCCGCACCGCAUUAGCUAGUUGGCAAGGUAACGGCUUACCAAGGCAACGAUGCGUAGCCGACCUGAGAGGGUGGUCGGCCACACUGGAACUGAGACACGGUCCAGACUCCUACGGGGGGCAGCAGUAGGGAAUCUUCCGCAAUGGGCGAAAGCCUGACGGAGCAACGCCGCGUGAGUGAUGAAGGUCUUCGGAUCGUAAAACUCUGUUAUUAGGGAAGAACAAAUGUGUAAGUAACUAUGCACGUCUUGACGGUACCUAAUCAGAAAGCCACGGCUAACUACGUG
rnacentral:rRNA from 1 species